rnacentral:rRNA from 1 species
UACGAAGGGGGCUAGCGUUGCUCGGAAUCACUGGGCGUAAAGCGCACGUAGGCGGCUUUUUAAGUCCGGGGUGAAAUCCUCCAGCUUAACUGGAGAACUGCCUCGGAUACUGGAAGUCUCGAGGAGGGUAGGGGCAAGUGGAACCGUGGGUGGAGCGGUGAAAUGCGUUGAUAUCCAUGGGAACUCCGGUGGCGAAGGCGACUUGCUGGACCCUUUCUGACGCUGAGGCUCGAAAGCCAGGGGAGCAAACGGG